rnacentral:rRNA from 1 species
CUACGGGUGGCAGCAGUGAGGAAUAUUGGUCAAUGGGAGAGAUCCUGAACCAGCCAAGCCGCGUGAGGGAAGACGGCCCUAUGGGUUGUAAACCUCUUUUGUCGGAGAACAAAACCCGGGACGUGUCCCGGACUGCGUGUAUCCGCAGAAACAGCAUCGGCUAACUCCGUGCCAGCAGCCGCGGUAAUACGUAGGGGGCGAGCGUUGUCCGGAAUGACUGGGCGUAAAGGGAGUGUAGGCGGCAUAUUAAGUUAUGUGUGAAAGCCCGCGGCUCAACCGCGGAAUUGCACAUAAAACUGGUAAGCUGGAGUGCAGGAGAGGUAAGUGGAAGUCCCGGUGUAGCGGUGGAAUGCGUAGAUAUCGGGAGGAACACCAGAGGCGAAGGCGACUGACUGGACUGUAACUGACGCUGAGGCUCGAAAGCGUGGGGAGCAAACAGGAUUAGAUACCCUGGUAGUC